GUCUUCGUGGUGUAGUGGUCAGCACGCUCGACUCGUAUUCUAGAGGUCCGAGUUCCGGCGAAGGCA
rnacentral:tRNA from 1 species